UACCGAAGACUAUCAAACUCCGAAUGCCGUCAUCUUAUACUUGGGAGUCAGACUGUGGGUGAUAAGAUUCAUAGUCGAAAGGGCAACAGCCCAGAUCGUCAGCUAAGGUCCCUAAAUGUAAGUUAAGUGGUAAAGGAUGUGGGAUUGCACAGACAACCAGGAUGUUGGCUUAGAAGCAGCCACUCAUUCAAAGAGUGCGUAAUAGCUCACUGGUCGAGUGAUCCUGCGCCGAAGAUUUCCGGGGCUAAAACUUACUACCGAAGCUACGGCAUCAGUAAUGAUGGGUAGGGGAGCUUCCCAUACGGGUUGAAGCAUGACCGUAAGGACAUGUGGACAGUAUGGGAGUGAGAAUGUUGGCAUGAGUAGCGAGAUGUGGGUGAGAAUCCCACAGGCCGUAAACCCAAGGUUUCCAGGGGAAGGUUCGUCCGCCCUGGGUUAGUCGGGACCUAAGCUGAGGCCGAAAGGCGUAGGUGAUGGACAACAGGUUGAUAUUCCUGUACUACCGAUAACC
rnacentral:rRNA from 1 species